rnacentral:rRNA from 1 species
CCCUUAGAUGUCCUGGGCCGCACGCGCGUUACACUGAUGCAUUCAACGAGCUUAUAACCUUGGCCGAGAGGCCUGGGCAAUCUUGUUAACGUGCAUCGUGAUAGGGAUAGAUUAUUGAAAUUAUUAAUCUUGAACGAGGAAUUCCUAGUAAACGCAGAUCAUCAAUCUGCAUUGAUUACGUCCCUGCCCUUUGUACACACCGCCCGUCGCGCCUACCGAUUGGAUGGUCCGGUGAAGCCUCGGGAUUGUGGUUCUUGCCGCUUUAUUGUGGCGUGACCGCGAGAACUUGUCUAAACCUUAUCAUCUAGAGGAAGGUGAANUCGUAACA